rnacentral:rRNA from 1 species
AUUGAACGCUGGCGGCAGGCCUAACACAUGCAAGUCGAGCGGAUGAAGGGAGCUUGCUCCUGGAUUCAGCGGCGGACGGGUGAGUAAUGCCUAGGAAUCUGCCUGGUAGUGGGGGAUAACGUCCGGAAACGGGCGCUAAUACCGCAUACGUCCUGCGGGAGAAAGAGGGUGAUCUUCGGACCUCACGCUAUCAGAUGAGCCUAGGUCGGAUUAGUUAGUUGGUGGGGUAAAGACCUACCAAGGAGACGAUCCGUUACUGGUCUGAGAGGCUGGUAAGUCACACGGGAACUGAGACACGGUCCAGGCGCCUACGGGAGGCAGCAGUGGCGAAUAUUGGACAAUGGGCGAAAGCCUUGUACAGCCAUGCCGAGUGUGUGAAGAAGGUCUUCGGUGUGUGAAGCACUUUAAGUUGUGAGGAAGCGCAGUAAGUUGAUACGUUGCUGUUUUGACGUUACCAGCAGAAGAAGCACCGGCUAACUUCGUG